AGUAUCCAGCAGGCAGCUUCAGCCGAAUUGAAGGCCAAUGGAGAAAUCACAUAUUACCAAACAUGAAGAAUUUAAACCAGCCUUUUGCAAGAGCCAAAUUUCGUUUUGGACCCAUCAAGUGAAUCUGGACCAGGGAUGAAGAAUAAACUCGUUUAUCAUCUGAAGUUGCUAAUUAUAUGCUGGAUCAAGGAUUAACAAUUGUCUAUUCUGGGUUGAUUCUAUAUUUCUAGUCUUACGGGCAAAUUGAGCUGACAUUUACUUGUGCCUUCUCUGUGGUAAAUGCUGUAGCAAAGAGUUUGUGUACAACAUCAAUGUUGGCAGGGUUUAACAAAUUGUUAAUUCAUAUAUUCUUUCAGGCACAUUGGUGGAAGAAAAAACCUCCUUCUUGCAAGACAUUUGGCGACCAAAAAGAAAAAAAAAGGCAGUAGUGGAAUUCAUCAAACCACAUUCUUGCUGGUGCAUUGGAGAUAUUCAUGCCACCUCUGCAGUAGAAAAACAUUCUUUAUCUUGACAUCUUCUAUUAACUUGUUAAAUCAAGCUGGUCUCAAAAUGCUGUCACCAGAAUAAAUAUAUUUAUGAAAGUUCAUCUUAACUACAUGCUGAAUAUAUUGCAAAUUUAUAAGUAGA